ensembl:snRNA U6 U6 spliceosomal RNA
GUGCUUGCUCUGGAUGCACUUAUACUAAGAUUGGAAUGAUACAGAGAAGAUUAGUUUGGUUCCUACACAAGGAAGUAGGGAAUUAUGCUAACUGGGACCCAAGGUUC